UACAGAGGUGGCAAGCGUUGCUCGGUAUCACUGGGCUUAAAGGGCGCGUAGGCGGUGCGGUACGGUUUCGGUGAAAUCCCUCGGCCCAACCGAGGAACAGCCGGAGCUACGGCCGGACUAGACGGCAUCAGGGGACAGUGGAACUCCAGGUGGAGCGGUGAAAUGCGUAGAUAUCUGGAGGAACACCGGUGGCGAAGGCGGCGUUCUGGACUGCAACUGACACUGAUAAACGAAAGCCAGGGUAGCAAACGGG
rnacentral:rRNA from 1 species